UGCGCAGGUGGGGAUGUAAGUCAGUGGUGAAAUGUUGCCGCUUAACGGUAAAAUUGCCAUUGAUACUGCAUCUCUUGAGUAUGGUUGAGGUAGGCGGAAUGUGUUGUGUAGCGGUGAAAUGCACAGAUAUGACACAGAACACCGAUUGCGAAGGCAGCUUACUAAGCCAUUACUGACGCUGAGGCACGAAAGCGUGGGGAGCGAACAGGAUUAGAUACCCUGGUAGUCC
rnacentral:rRNA from 1 species